rfam:Clostridium pasteurianum DSM 525 = ATCC 6013, complete genome.
AGAAGCCGACACGGUAAGGUCUAGCCAACCGCCGUUAUCCAGCCUUGGAGCCGAAGCCGUGAGGCUAGGUUUAAGCGUAGGUAAGAAACUAUGCGAGCCGUAAUGCGAAAGCGUGAAGUGAUUGAAUCUCGUUAGUUUAUAUAGAAUGGAAGCCGAUACCCUCACCUCGGUAGCAGGUAAUAAUACUUGGUCGUAAAGGGCAAGAACAAGUAGGUUCCAUCGGGGUCUUAGAGCA